GCCAGCAGUCAUAUCACCCUACAACUCACAACUGGCAACCCACUGAAGCUCAGCAGGUGUGAGCCUGGUCAGUACCUGGAUGGGAGACUCCUGGGAAAAACUAAGGUUGCUGCUGGAA
rnacentral:rRNA from 1 species